GAUGAAGAACGUAGCGAAAUGCGAUAAGUAAUGUGAAUUGCAGAAUUCAGUGAAUCAUCGAAUCUUUGAACGCACAUUGCGCCCGCCAGUAUUCUGGCGGGCAUGCCUGUUCGAGCGUCAUUACAACCCUCAGGCCCCCGGGCCUGGCGUUGGGGAUCGGCGGAGCCCCCCGUGGGCACACGCCGUCCCCCAAACGCAGUGGCGGUCCCGCCGCAGCUUCCAUCGCGUAGUAGCUAACACCUCGCGACUGGAGAGCGGCGCGGCCACGCCGUAAAACACCCAACUCUUCUGAAGUUGACCUCGAAUCAGGUAGGAAUACCCGCUGAACUUAAGCAUAUCAAUAAGCGGAGGA
rnacentral:misc_RNA from 1 species